GAUGAACGCUGGCGGCGUGCCUAACACAUGCAAGUCGAACGGAGUCCAGCCUUUAAGACCUUCGGGUCAAAGAGGGGAAGACUGAGUGGCGGACGGGUGAGUAACACGUGGGCAACCUGGCUCAUAGAGGGGGAUAACUGAGAGAAAUUUCUGCUAAUACCGCAUAAGCACACACUGCCGCAUGGCAGAGGGUGAAAAGAGAAUCGCUAUGAGAUGGACCCGCGUCUGAUUAGCCAGUUGGCAGGGUAAGAGCCUACCAAAGCGACGAUCAGUAGCCGAUCUGAGAGGAUGAACGGCCACAUUGGGACUGAGACACGGCCCAAACUCCUACGGGAGGCAGCAGUGGGGGAUAUUGCACAAUGGGGGGAACCCUGAUGCAGCGACGCCGCGUGAGUGAAGAAGUAUUUCGGUAUGUAAAGCUCUAUCAGCAGGGAAGAUAAUGACAGUACCUGAAGAAGAAGCCCCGGCUAACUACGUG
rnacentral:rRNA from 1 species